ensembl:lncRNA
CAUACUGGUUUGUACUGGGAGGGACUGGGAGAGGUUAAAAAGGGGAUUUGGGGUUACUGGUUUAUACUGGUUUAUACUGGGAAUGCCAUUAGAAAGCUCUGGGAGUUACUGGGACGGAACUGGGAUUGAACCAGUGCCAAACUGGUUUAUACUGGUGUGUACUGGUCUGUACUGGUUUGUACUGGUUUGUACUGGUAUGUACUGGUUUAUACUGGUUUGUACUGGUCUAUACUGGUUUAUACUGGUUUAUACUGGUUUGUACUGGUCUGUACUGGUUUAUACUGGUUUGUACUGGUUUAUACUGGUCAGACGCCCCCGUGGUGAGCGCCGGCCCCUCCCCCGUGGUGGUUCCGGAAGGUUCCGAGGCCGUGCUGGGGCUGUCGGUGCGAGCCCAUCCCCCCCCCGAGGGCUGCGCCUGGAGCACCGCGGGGCGGGGCAUCAACCCGGGUACUGGUUUGUACUGGUUUGUACUGGUUUGGACUGGUUUGGACUGGUUUGGACUGGUUUGGACUGGUUUGGACUGGUUUGGACUGGGAGGGACUGGUUUGGACUGGUUUGGACUGGUUUAUACUGGGAGGGGCAUCAACCCCGGUACUGGUUUGGACUGGGAGGGACUGGGAGGGACUGGGAGGGACUGGGAGGGACUGGUUUGGACUGGUACAUACUGGUUUGUACUGGUUUGGACUGGUUUGUACUGGUUUAUACUGGGAGGGGCAUCAACCUCGGUAUGAUGGGAUAUACUGGUUUGUACUGGUUUAUACUGGUUUAUACUGGGAGAGACUGGGAGGGGCAUCAACCCCGGUACUGGUUUGUACUGGUUUGUACUGGUUUGUACUGGGAGGGGCAUCAACCCCGGUAUGAUGGUUUGUACUGGUUUAUACUGGUUUGUACUGGGAGGGGCAUCAACCCCGGUACUGGGAGAUACUGGUUUAUACUGGUUUAUACUGGUUUAUACUGGUUUAUACUGGUUUAUACUGGUUUAUACUGGGAUAUACUGGGAUAUACUGGGAUAUACUGGUUUAUACUGGGAUGGAUUGGGAGGGGCAUCAACCCCGGUACUGGUUUAUACUGGGAUAGACUGGGAUAUACUGGAAUGGACUGGUUUAUACUGGUUUAUACUGGGAGGGACUGGGAGCGCCCUGAGGGGUUACUGGGAGCACUGGGAACACUCCAAUAUCUCUUGGGUGGGCGUGGCCUCUCCUUAACCCCGCCCCUUUUAUUAACUCCGCCCCCUGAGGAGUUACUAGGAGCACCUCAGUGUCUCCCAGUGGGCGUGGCCUCUCCCUAACCCCGCCCCUUUAUUAGCUCCGCCCCCUGAGGGGUGACUAGGAGCACCUCAGUGUCUUCCCAGUGGGCGUGGCCUCUCCCUAACCCCGCCCCUUGAGGGGUUACUAGGAGCACUGGGAACGCCUCAGUAUCUCCUGGUGGGCGUGGCCUCUCCCUAACCCCGCCCCCUGAAGGGUUACUGGGAGCACUGGCAAUGCCUCAGUAUCUCCCGGGGGGCGUGGCCUCUCUCUAACCCCGCCCCCCUUUGUUGGCCCCGCCCCCAGAGGGCUCCCCGCGCUUCCGGUUGUCGCCGGCGGGCGCUCUCGUCAUCGCCAACGUCACGCGCGGCGACAGCGCCGCCUACCGGGUGUGGUGCGUCAACGCCGAGGGCGGGGCCGGCGCUGACGUCACGCUGCUGGUGCAGGGUACGGGAGGCCCCGAAAAAAACCCCGAAUUCACCCCAAAAUUGGCUUCAAAAUCCCCUUCCAAAUUCACCCGGAAUUACCCCAAAAUCACCCCGGAAUGAACGGAAAAUUGACGCGGAUGGAGCUGAAAUUACCUAAAAAUGAACCCAAAAUUCACCUGGAACGAACCAAAAAUGAUCCCAAAAAUUACCCCGAAAUUCACCUGGAAUGAACCCAAAAUUAUCCCGAAAUUCACCUGGAAUGAACCCAAAAAAUCACCCCAAAAUCAACUCAAAAUUCACCCCAA